GGCGGCGUGCUUAACACAUGCAAGUCGAACGGAAAGGCCCAGCUUGCUGGGUACUCGAGUGGCGAACGGGUGAGUAACACGUGGGUGAUCUGCCCUGCACUCUGGGAUAAGCCUGGGAAACUGGGUCUAAUACCGGAUAUGACCAACUGUCGCAUGGUGGUUGGUGGAAAGCUUUUGCGGUGUGGGAUGGCCCGCGGCCUAUCAGCUUGUUGGUGGGGUAAUGGCCUACCAAGGCGACGACGGGUAGCCGACCUGAGAGGGUGAUCGGCCACACUGGGACUGAGACACGGCCCAGACUCUACGGGAGGCAGCAGUGGGGAAUAUUGCACAAUGGGCGCAAGCCUGAUGCAGCGACGCCGCGUGAGGGAUGACGGCUUCGGGUUGUAAACCUCUUUCACCAGGGACGAAGCGUGAGUGACGGUACCUGGAGAAGAAGCACCGGCCAACUACGUGCCAGCAGCCGCGGUAAUACGUAGGGUGCGAGCGUUGUCCGGAAUUACUGGGCGUAAAGAGCUCGUAGGCGGUUUGUCGCGUCGUCUGUGAAAUUCUGCAACUCAAUUGUAGGCGUGCAGGCGAUACGGGCAGACUUGAGUACUACAGGGGAGACUGGAAUUCUCUGGUGUAGCGGUGAAAUGCGCAGAUAUCAGGAGGAACACCGGUGGCGAAGGCGGUCUCUGGGUAGUACUGACGCUGA
rnacentral:rRNA from 1 species